GGACGAUUUGGCUGUGACAUCUGUCACUCCAUUGAUCGCCAGGAUUGACUCAGCUACUCUGGCUAGCGAGGGGGUGUCUCCUUCACUGAAAGAGGACAACCAUUCUAGACAGAAGGAAUGUAUUGAUCUUCUGUGAAGGAUAUGUGAUAACUGCACUCUCCUGCUAGAACCUCCAAAGAAGCAUUAUAGUCCCAUAACCACCCAGGGUUAGCAUCCUU
rnacentral:snRNA from 1 species